rnacentral:rRNA from 1 species
UACGAAGGGGGCUAGCGUUGCUCGGAAUUACUGGGCGUAAAGCGUGCGCAGGCGGUUUUGUAAGUCAGAUGUGAAAUCCCCGGGCUUAACCUGGGAACUGCGUUUGAAACUACAAGGCUAGAGUGUGGCAGAGGGGGGUGGAAUUCCACGUGUAGCAGUGAAAUGCGUAGAGAUGUGGAGGAACACCGGUGGCGAAGGCGGCAACCUGGUCCUUUACUGACGCUGAGGCGCGAAAGCGUGGGGAGCAAACAGG